rnacentral:rRNA from 1 species
CAGUCGCCACGGGAAUACAGAGGGUGCGAGCGUUAAUCGGAUUUACUGGGCGUAAAGCGUGCGUAGGCGGCUUCUUAAGUCGGAUGUGAAAUCCCUGAGCUUAACUUAGGAAUUGCAUUCGAUACUGGGAAGCUAGAGUAUGGGAGAGGAUGGUAGAAUUCCAGGUGUAGCGGUGAAAUGCGUAGAGAUCUGGAGGAAUACCGAUGGCGAAGGCAGCCAUCUGGCCUAAUACUGAUGCUGAGGUACGAAAGCAUGGGGAGCAAACAGGAUUAGAUACCCCCGUAGUCCCUGUCUCUUAUAC